rnacentral:rRNA from 1 species
UGCAGUCGAACGAACUCUGGUAUUGAUUGGUGCUUGCAUCAGAUUUACAUUUGAGUGAGUGGCGAACUGGUGAGUAACACGUGGGAAACCUGCCCAGAAGCGGGGGAUAACACCUGGAAACAGAUGCUAAUACCGCAUAACAACUUGGACCGCAUGGUCCGAGCUUGAAAGAUGGCUUCGGCUAUCACUUUUGGAUGGUCCCGCGGCGUAUUAGCUAGAUGGUGGGGUAACGGCUCACCAUGGCAAUGAUACGUAGCCGACCUGAGAGGGUAAUCGGCCACAUUGGGACUGAGACACGGCCCAAACUCCUACGGGAGGCAGCAGUAGGGAAUCUUCCACAAUGGACGAAAGUCUGAUGGAGCAACGCCGCGUGAGUGAAGAAGGGUUUCGGCUCGUAAAACUCUCUUGUUAAAGAAGAACAUAUCUUAGAGUAACUGUUCAGGUGUUGACGGUGUUUAA